UGGCGGACGGGUGAGGAAUACAUCGGAAUCUACUCUGUCGUGGGGGAUAACGUAGGGAAACUUACGCUAAUACCGCAUACGACCUACGGGUGAAAGCAGGGGAUCUUCGGACCUUGCGCGAUUGAAUGAGCCGAUGUCGGAUUAGCUAGUUGGCGGGGUAAAGGCCCACCAAGGCGACGAUCCGUAGCUGGUCUGAGAGGAUGAUCAGUCACACUGGAACUGAGACACGGUCCAGACUCCUACGGGAGGCAGCAGUC
rnacentral:rRNA from 1 species